AACACUGUUAACCUGCGGUACCUGCGGAGGGAUCGUUACAGAGUGUUUAACCCCCUAUAAAAUGGUGGGUCUAACCUCCCGUCCUUUGCUGGGUCCCCCUUCUGGAGGACUUUCAAAACUUUCUGCUUCGGCGGGGUAUACCCGCCGGAACACCCUCAAAAAAUUCUUGAUCAAAAUGGUUCGGUCCGAGAAACUUUUUGUGAAAAUUAGCGAAAAACUUUCAGCAACGGAUCUCAGAUC
rnacentral:misc_RNA from 1 species